rnacentral:rRNA from 1 species
AGCCUGAUGCAGCGACGCCGCGUGGGGGAUGACGGCCUAUCGGGUUGUAAACCUCUUUCAGUAGGGACGAAGCGCAAGUGACGGUACCUAUAGAAGAAGGACCGGCCAACUACGUGCCAGCAGCCGCGGUAAUACGUAGGGUCCGAGCGUUGUCCGGAAUUACUGGGCGUAAAGAGCUCGUAGGUGGUUUGUCACGUUGUUCGUGAAAACCCACAACUCAAUUGUGGGCGUGCGGGCGAUACGGGCAGACUAGAGUACUGCAGGGGAGACUGGAAUUCCUGGUGUAGCGGUGGAAUGCGCAGAUAUCAGGAGGAACACCGGUGGCGAAGGCGGGUCUCUGGGCAGUAACUGACGCUGAGGAGCGAAAGCGUGGGGAGCGAACAGGAUUAGAUACCCUGGUAGUCCACGCCGUAAACGGUGGGUACUAGGUGUGGGUUUCCUUCCUUGGGAUCCGUGCCGUAGCUAACGCAUUAAGUACCCCGCCUGGGGAGUACGGCCGCAAGGCUAAAACUCAAAGAAAUUGACGGGGGCCCGCACAAGCGGCGGAGCAUGUGGAUUAAUUCGAUGCAACGCGAAGAACCUUACCUGGGUUUGACAUGCACAGGACGUGCCUAGAGAUAGGUAUUCCCUUGUGGUCUG